CGAGAGGCGGGCACAGCGUGCGCGCUCCAAGAUGGCGGUGGCCGGUGCUGCCGGGCUGGUGGCGAACGUCUUCCCAUUUCGCGAUGCCCGCGCCGCGCCAGACCCAGUGCUAGAGGCCGGCCCGGUGGCACACGGGCCACUGCCGGUGCCACUCGUGCUGGACAACGGGUCGUUCCAGGCCCGCGCCGGCUGGGCAUGCUCCGGGCCGGAUCCGGGCCCCGAGCCGCGCCUGCAGUUCCGCGCUGUGUGCGCCCGCGGGCGUGGCGGGGCUCGGGGCGGGGCUGGCCCGCAGGUGGGCAACGCGCUGGGCAGCCUGGAGCCGUUGCGCUGGAUGCUGCGCUCACCCUUCGACCGCAACGUACCGGUCAACUUGGAGCUGCAGGAGCUGCUGCUGGACUACAGCUUCCAGCACCUGGGUGUCUCCUCACAGGGCUGUGUCGAUCAUCCUGUAGUUUUGACAGAAGCUGUGUGCAACCCACUGUAUUCUCGACAGAUGAUGUCUGAGCUGCUCUUUGAGUGCUAUGGGAUUCCUAAGGUUGCCUAUGGAGUAGACAGCCUCUUCAGCUUCUACCACAAUAAGCCAAAGAACUUGACUUCCAGUGGGCUCAUCAUUUCCUCUGGGUACCAAUGUACACAUAUCUUACCCAUCUUAGAAGGGAGGUUAGAUGCUAAAAACUGCAAACGCAUCAAUCUGGGAGGAAGCCAAGCAGCUGGCUACCUCCAGCGCCUCCUGCAGCUGAAGUAUCCCGGGCACCUGGCAGCCAUCACUCUCAGCCGCAUGGAGGAGAUCCUGCACGAGCACAGCUAUGUUGCUGAAGAUUACGUGGAAGAACUGCAGAAAUGGCGGUGCCCUGAUUAUUACGAAAACAACGUCCACAAGAUGCAGCUCCCGUUUUCCAGCAAGCUCCUCGGCAGCACUCUGAGCUCGGAGGAGAGGCAGGAAAGGCGGCAGCAGCAGCUGCGGCGCCUGCAGGAGCUCAACGCCCGCCGGCGGGAGGAGAAGCUGCAGCUGGACCAGGAGCGGCUAGACAGACUGCUCUACGUGCAGGAACUUCUAGAGGAUGGCCAGAUGGAUCAGUUUCACAAAGCUCUGGUGGAGCUGAACAUGGACUCCCCGGAAGAGCUGCAGUCCUACAUCCAGAAGCUCAGCUCGGCCGUGGAGCAGGCGAAGCAGAAAAUCCUCCAAGCAGAAGUCACCCUCGAGGUGGAUGUGGUGGACAGCAAGCCAGAGACCCCGGACCUGGAGCAGCUAGAGCCUUCUCUGGAAGAUGUGGAAAGCAUCAAUGAUUUUGAGCCCUUGUUUUCAGAGGACACCCCUGAAGUGGAGAAGCCAGUCACCACUGUCCAGCCCGUGUUUAACUUGGCAGCCUAUCAUCAGCUGUUCGUUGGGACAGAAAGAAUUCGAGCUCCAGAAAUCAUCUUCCAGCCGUCCCUCAUAGGGGAAGAGCAGGCUGGGAUAGCAGAGACCCUUCAGUACAUCCUGGACAGGUACUCAAAGGACGUUCAGGACGUGCUGGUUCAGAACGUUUUCCUCACCGGUGGAAACAUGAUGUACCCUGGAAUGAAAGGUAGAAUUGAGAAGGAGCUAUUGGAGAUGAGGCCCUUCCAGUCUGCUUUUAAGGUUCAGCUGGCUUCCAACCCCGUGCUGGACGCCUGGUAUGGCGCUCGGGACUGGGCCUUGGACCACCUGGACGACGAUGAAGUCUGGAUCACCAGGAAAGAGUAUGAAGAGAAGGGAGGAGAGUACCUCAAGGAGCACUGUGCAUCCAACAUCUACGUCCCCAUCCGCCUGCCCAAGCAGGCCUCACGCUUCUCGGACACACAGGCCUCCGGCAAAGGCUCGGGGGCCAGUGGAGGCAGUGCUGGCGAGCAGGCGUAGUGCGUGCCGUCUGAGACCUGGGGCCGUGGUGGCCAGUGGGAUGGACGAUGGCCGUGCUAGCUGGGUCCAUCCUGAGCCUGCUGGCAGCACUGGGCUGCGAGGUGGAUUUCUCCUGGGGAGAACAGUUAAGGGACACUGGAAAUUGCCUUUCUGACCUGCAAUCACUUGGGGGCUCAUGCAGGGAAGAGACUUUAAGUGACUUUCUCGUGUCCGCUGAACCGAGGAUGAGUGGAGGCGUCACCUUCCCGCAGCAGUAAGUGAAGACGGAAUGGAGGACAGGGAUGUACACAAUGUAAAAAGUUUAUUUCUUCAUUUAAAAAAUUAUUUUAAAAAAUCCUGCAAAAUUUAUAUUGUCACUGUAGAUAUUUUUCUGACUUUGUUCAGAAAUUGUGUGAAUGCCCAGCAGAUGGAGGCCUUUCACAUGUGUAUAAAAAAAAGAUAAAGUUGGGGCGCCUGGGUGGCACAGUGGUUGAGCUUCUGCCUUCGGCUCAGGGCGUGAUCCCGGCGU